rnacentral:rRNA from 1 species
AGUCGAACGAGAAUCUGACGAAGGAGUUUUCGGACAACUGAUUCAGAGGAAAGUGGCGGACGGGUGAGUAACGCGUGAGGAACCUGCCUUGAAGAGGGGGACAACAGUUGGAAACGACUGCUAAUACCGCAUGAAGCAUAGAGGUCGCAUGAUCUUUAUGCCAAAGAUUUAUCGCUUCAAGAUGGCCUCGCGUCUGAUUAGCUAGUUGGCGGGGUAACGGCCCACCAAGGCGACGAUCAGUAGCCGGACUGAGAGGUUGAACGGCCACAUUGGGACUGAGAUACGGCCCAGACUCCUACGGGAGGCAGCAGUGGGGAAUAUUGGGCAAUGGGCGCAAGCCUGACCCAGCAACGCCGCGUGAAGGAAGAAGGCUUUCGGGUUGUAAACUUCUUUUAAGAGGGAAGAGCAGAAGACGGUACCUCUAGAAUAAGCCACGGCUAACUACGUGCCAGCAGCCGCGGUAAUACGUAGGUGGCAAGCGUUGUCCGGAUUUACUGGGUGUAAAGGGCGUGCAGCCGGGUCUGCAAGUCAGAUGUGAAAUCCAUGGGCUCAACCCAUGAACUGCAUUUGAAACUGUAGAUCUUGAGUGUCGGAGGGGCAAUCGGAAUUCCUAGUGUAGCGGUGAAAUGCGUA